AGACCAUGGAGUGGGCAUUUCUAUAGCAAGUCCUUGUACCUCUCCUAUGCCUCAUACAAUUACUCAAAGUCAAAUUGUGUGAAAGAAGUGAUAUCAUUUCUCAUCUU
rnacentral:snoRNA from 1 species